rnacentral:rRNA from 1 species
GUAGGGAAUAUUGGGCAAUGGAGGCAACUCUGACCCAGCCAUGCCGCGUGCAGGAUGACGGCCCUCUGGGUUGUAAACUGCUUUUAUACGGGAAGAAAAAAUACUACGUGUAGUAUACUGACGGUACCGUAAGAAUAAGGAUCGGCUAACUCCGUGCCAGCAGCCGCGGUAAUACGGAGGAUCCAAGCGUUGUCCGGAUUUAGUGGGUUUAAAGGGUGCGUAGGCGGAUCUUUAAGUCAGUGGUGAAAGCCUGCAGCUUAACUGUAGAAUUGCCAUUGAAACUGAAGAUCUUGAAUGUGGUUAAAGUAGGCGGAAUGUAUCAUGUAGCGGUGAAAUGCUUAGAUAUGAUACAGAACACCGAUAGCGAAGGCAGCUUGCUGAACCAUUAUUGACGCUGAGGCACGAAAGCGUGGGGAGCGAACAGGAUUAGAAACCCCUGUAGUCC